UGCCCCGUGGCUGAGUUGGUUACAGCGUCCGACUGUUAUAUACUCACAUCGGAAGGUCGUGAGUUCGAGCCUCACCGGGGCAG
rnacentral:tRNA from 1 species